GACGAACGCUGGCGGCGUGCCUAAUACAUGCAAGUAGAACGCACAGUUUAUACCGUAGCUUGCUACACCAUAGACUGUGAGUUGCGAACGGGUGAGUAACGCGUAGGUAACCUGCCUGGUAGCGGGGGAUAACUAUUGGAAACGAUAGCUAAUACCGCAUAAUAUUAAUUGUUGCAUGAUAAUUAAUUGAAAGGUGCAAUUGCACCACUACCAGACGGACCUGCGUUGUAUUAGCUAGUAGGUGAGGUAACGGCUCACCUAGGCGACGAUACAUAGCCGACCUGAGAGGGUGAUCGGCCACACUGGGACUGAGACACGGCCCAGACUCCUACGGGAGGCAGCAGUAGGGAAUCUUCGGCAAUGGACGAAAGUCUGACCGAGCAACGCCGCGUGAGUGAAGAAGGUUUUCGGAUCGUAAAGCUCUGUUGUAAGAGAAGAACGGGUGUGAGAGUGGAAAGUUCACACUGUGACGGUAUCUUACCAGAAAGGGACGGCUAACUACGUG
rnacentral:rRNA from 1 species